GAUGAACGCUAGCGGCAGGCCUAACACAUGCAAGUCGAACGGUAACAUGAUCAGCUUGCUGAUUGAUGACGAGUGGCGCACGGGUGCGUAACGCGUAUGCAAUCUACCUCUAACUGGAAGAUAGCCCGGAGAAAUCCGGAUUAAUACUCCAUAAUAUCCAUUUUUCGCAUGUUAAGUGGAUUAAAGCUUUUGCGGUUAGAGAUGGGCAUGCGUGACAUUAGGCUAGUUGGUGAGGUAAUAGCUUACCAAGGCAACGAUGUCUAGGGGGCCUGAGAGGGUUAUCCCCCACACUGGAACUGAGACACGGUCCAGACUCCUACGGGGGGCAGCAGUGAGGAAUAUUGGUCAAUGGACGCAAGUCUGAACCAGCCAUGCCGCGUGCAGGAAGACGGCCCUACGGGUUGUAAACUGCUUUUGUAAGGGAAUAAACCCCCGGACGUGUCCGGGCUGAAGGUACUUUACGAAUAAGCAUCGGCUAACUCCGUGCCAGCAGCCG
rnacentral:rRNA from 1 species